UACGUAGGUGGCAAGCGUUGUUCGGAUUUACUGGGCGUAAAGGGCGCGUAGGCGGUCAGCACAAGUCAGUUGUGAAAUCUCCGGGCUUAACUCGGAAAGGUCAACUGAUACUGUGCGACUAGAGUGCGGAAGGGGCAACUGGAAUUCUCGGUGUAGCGGUGAAAUGCGUAGAUAUCGAGAGGAACACCUGCGGCGAAGGCGGGUUGCUGGGCCGACACUGACGCUGAUGCGCGAAAGCCAGGGGAGCGAACGGG
rnacentral:rRNA from 1 species